rnacentral:rRNA from 1 species
GGGGGGACGGAGAAGGCUAUGUUGGCCGGGCGACGGUUGUCCCGGUUUAAGCGUGUAGGUGUGUGUUCCAGGUAAAUCCGGUUCACUUUAACACUGAGGCGUGACGACGAGGCACUACGGUGCUGAAGCAACAAAUGCCCUGCUUCCAGGAAAAGCCUCUAAGCAUCAGGUAACAUCAAAUCGUACCCCAAACCGACACAGGUGGUCAGGUAGAGAAUACCAAGGCGCUUGAGAGAACUCGGGUGAAGGAACUAGGCAAAAUGGUGCCGUAACUUCGGGAGAAGGCACGCUGACACGUAGGUGAAGUGAUUUACUCAUGGAGCUGAAGUCAGUCGAAGAUACCAGCUGGCUGCAACUGUUUAUUAAAAACACAGCACUGUGCAAACACGAAAGUGGACGUAUACGGUGUGACGCCUGCCCGGUGCCGGAAGGUUAAUUGAUGGGGUCAGCGCAAGCGAAGCUCCUGAUCGAAGCCCCGGUAAACGGCGGCCGUAACUAUAACGGUCCUAAGGUAGCGAAAUUCCUUGUCGGGUAAGUUCCGACCUGCACGAAUGGCGUAAUGAUGGCCAGGCUGUCUCCACCCGAGACUCAGUGAAAUUGAACUCGCUGUGAAGAUGCAGUGUACCCGCGGCAAGACGGAAAGACCCCGUGAACCUUUACUAUAGCUUGACACUGAACAUUGAGCCUUGAUGUGUAGGAUAGGUGGGAGGCUUUGAAGUGUGGACGCCAGUCUGCAUGGAGCCGACCUUGAAAUACCACCCUUUAAUGUUUGAUGUUCUAACGUGGACCCGUUACCCGGGUUGCGGACAGUGUCUGGUGGGUAGUUUGACUGGGGCGGUCUCCUCCUAAAGAGUAACGGAGGAGCACGAAGGUUGGCUAAUCCUGGUCGGACAUCAGGAGGUUAGUGCAAUGGCAUAAGCCAGCUUGACUGCGAGCGUGACGGCGCGAGCAGGUGCGAAAGCAGGUCAUAGUGAUCCGGUGGUUCUGAAUGGAAGGGCCAUCGCUCAACGGAUAAAAGGUACUCCGGGGAUAACAGGCUGAUACCGCCCAAGAGUUCAUAUCGACGGCGGUGUUUGGCACCUCGAUGUCGGCUCAUCACAUCCUGGGGCUGAAGUAGGUCCCAAGGGUAUGGCUGUUCGCCAUUUAAAGUGGUACGCGAGCUGGGUUUAGAACGUCGUGAGACAGUUCGGUCCCUAUCUGCCGUGGGCGCUGGAGAACUGAGGGGGGCUGCUCCUAGUACGAGAGGACCGGAGUGGACGCAUCACUGGUGUUCGGGUUGUCAUGCCAAUGGCACUGCCCGGUAGCUAAAUGCGGAAGAGAUAAGUGCUGAAAGCAUCUAAGCACGAAACUUGCCCCGAGAUGAGUUCUCCCUGAGACUUAGAGUCUCCUGAAGGAACGUUGAAGACGACGACGUUGAUAGGCCGGGUGUGUAAGCGCAGCGAUGCGUUGAGCUAACCGGUACUAAUGAACCGUGAGGCUUAACCUUACAACGCCGAAGAUGUUUUGGCGGAUGAGANNNNNNNNNNNNNNNNNNNNUACAACGCCGAAGAUGUUUUGGCGGAUGAGAAGACGAUUUUCAGCACUGAUUCAGAUUACAUCAGAACGUAAAAACGGUCUGAUAACAGAAUUUGCCUGGCGGCAGUAGCGCGGUGGUCCCACCUGA